rnacentral:tRNA from 1 species
GUGUGUGUAAUUUAAAAAAAAUAUCAAGUUGUGACCCUGAAAAUAGCUGCCACUCGCACACC